CCUACGGGUGGCUGCAGUAGGGAAUAUUGGACAAUGGGUGCGAGCCUGAUCCAGCCAUGCCGCGUGCAGGAAGAAGGCGUUAUGCGUUGUAAACUGCUUUUGCCAGGGGAUAAAAUAACUGUGCGCAGUUGAUUGAAGGUACCUGGUGAAUAAGCCACGGCUAACUACGUGCCAGCAGCCGCGGUAAUACGUAGGUGGCAAGCGUUGUCCGGAUUUAUUGGGUUUAAAGGGUGCGUAGGCGGUCAUGUAUGAAAUAUCUCAGCUUAACUGAGAGGGUGCCAUUGAUACUGCGGGGCUUGAGUACAGAUGAGGUAGGCGGAAUUGACGGUGUAGCGGUGAAAUGCAUAGAUAUCGUCAAGAACACCGAUAGCGAAGGCAGCUUACCAAGCUGUAACUGACGCUGAGGCACGAAAGUGUGGGGAUCAAACAGGAUUAGAUACCCUAGUAGUC
rnacentral:rRNA from 1 species